rnacentral:rRNA from 1 species
AUACGUAGGGUGCAAGCGUUAAUCGGAAUUACUGGGCGUAAAGCGUGCGCAGGCGGUUUUGUAAGACAGAGGGGAAAUCCCCGGGCUCAACCUGGGAACUGCCUUUGUGACUGCAAGGCUAGAGUACGGCAGAGGGGGAUGGAAUUCCGCGUGUAGCAGUGAAAUGCGUAGAUAUGCGGAGGAACACCGAUGGCGAAGGCAAUCCCCUGGGCCUGUACUGACGCUCAUGCACGAAAGCGUGGGGAGCAAACAGGAUUAGAUGCCCUGGUAGUCCACGCCCUAAACGAUGUCAACUGGUUGUUGGGUCUUCAUUGACUCAGUAACGAAGCUAACGCGUGAAGUUGACCGCCUGGGGAGUACGGUCGCGAGACUGAAACUCAAAGGAAUUGACGGGG